UGGGUCUUGAUGAACUGCAGAAACUCCCUGAGGGGUCAGGAGUAAGGGGCAGGCUGCAGGGGACGCAGCACAGAACCCCACCAAGGCUCUAGGGAGCCCUCUGGGGGACGCAAGGUCACACUGCCCAUGGGUCUCGCGGGGACAGAUUCAAACUGUCCUGGUUCACCAUGGAUGGCUGUGGUCUUGGACAGCACAGCUGACUUCUCUGAGCCGGCAUUCUGCACUAUAAAAUGACGGAGAUCACAUUUCCUUCCUCUCAGCUCCUGCAAGCCAUACUAAAUCACGGGAGACAGACAGACAGACAAAGGGACCUGGCAUCUCCCAGGAUUAAUUACUCCAACCCCUCACAGGUCACUUAGGGGAUGAAGAACGCUGCUGCUGAUGGAGACAAGUCUCAGCUUGUAUAAGCCGUGUCCCCAUUUACAAGGUGCCAUCACAGAUCACAGGCCACCAAGGUCGGAGAACAGGCCUACCACCUCACCGAUCCCCAUCUUACAGACAGGGCACUGGGAUUCAGAGUGGUGCUGUCCAAAGCUAGAGAUCCCUGCUGAGCCCUGGUCAUGAUUCUAGUCCAGUACUCACUCUGCCUCCCUGUAACUGCUAAAUACGCAAAUACGUAGAGCAUUAUUUUUCACACCAUCCUCUGCUUCCUAUCUAUACAGCAAAAUUCUACUUUCGCCUUUGCAGAGAAAAACAGAAAAGAUUAAACAGUUUAUAAAAAUGUGAAAUGAGG
rnacentral:lncRNA from 1 species